rfam:Synechococcus phage S-CAM9 isolate 1109NB16, complete genome.
GCGGGUGUGGUGUAGAGGUAACAUCUGAGCCUUCCAAGCUCCAGUCGCGGGUUCGAUUCCCGCCACCCGCU